UACGUAGGGGGCAAGCGUUUGUCCGGAUUUAUUGGGCGUAAAGAGCGUGUAGGCGGUUUGGUAGGUCCGCUGUGAAAACUCGAGCUCAACCUCGAGACGCCGGUGGAAACCAUCAGACUAGAGUCCGGAAGAGGAGAGUGGAAUUCCUGGUGUAGCGGUGAAAUGCGCAGAUAUCAGGAAGAACACCCGUGGCUAAGGCGGCUCUCUGGCCUGUAACUGACGCUGAGGCGCGAAAGCGUGGGGAGCAAACAGG
rnacentral:rRNA from 1 species